CCUACGGGAGGCUGCAGUGGGGAAUCUUGCACAAUGGGGGAAACCCUGAUGCAGCGACGCCGCGUGAGCGAUGAAGCCCUUCGGGGUGUAAAGCUCUUUCGGCAGGGAAGAUGAUGACGGUACCUGCAGAAGCAGCUGCGGCUAACUACGUGCCAGCAGCCGCGGCAAUACGUAGGCAGCAAGCGUUGUUCGGAGUUACUGGGCGUAAAGGGUGUGCAGGCGGUUCUUUUAGUUUGGUGUGAAAUCUCCCGGCUCAACUGGGAGGGUGCGCCGAAUACUGAGGGACUAGAGUGCGGGAGAGGAAAGUGGAAUUCCUGGUGUAGCGGUGAAAUGCGUAGAUAUCAGGAGGAACACCGGUGGUGUAAACGGCUUUCUGGACCGUAACUGACGCUGAGACACGAAAGCGUGGGUAGCAAACAGGAUUAGACCGGUAGUCGUA
rnacentral:rRNA from 1 species